GGCCCGCUUCUUAGAGGGACUGUUGGCGACUAGCCAACGGAAGUUUGAGGCAAUAACAGGUCAGUAAUGCCCUUAGAUGUUCUGGGCCGCACGCGCGCUACACUGACGAAGCCAGCGAGUCUACAACCUUGGCCGGAAGGCCCG
rnacentral:rRNA from 1 species